rnacentral:rRNA from 1 species
GUGCCAGCAGCCGCGGUAAUACGUAGGAUGCAAGCGUUGUCCGGAUUUAUUGGGCGUAAAGAGCGCGUAGGUGGUUGGAUAAGUUGGGUGUGAAAGACCCUUGGCUUAACUAGGGGAGGUCAUCCAAAACUAUCCAGCUUGAGGGCAGCAGAGGAAAGUGGAAUUCCCGGUGUAGUGGUGAAAUGCGUAGAUAUCGGGAGGAACACCAGUGGCGAAGGCGGCUUUCUGGGCUGUCACUGACGCUGAGGCGCGAAAGCGUGGGGAGCGAACCGAAUUAGAUACUCGGGUAGUCCACGCCCUAAACGAUGGACACUAGGUGUAGUGGGUAUCGACCCCUGCUGUGCCGAAGCUAACGCAUUAAGUGUCCCGCCUGGGGAGUACGGCCGCAAGGCUAAA